rnacentral:rRNA from 1 species
AGGUUUCCGUAGGUGAACCUGCGGAAGGAUCAUUGUCGAGACCUGCCCAGCAGAAGGACCGGCGAAC